rnacentral:rRNA from 1 species
UAGAUAUUCAAUGCUGGAAGGCUUGGAUAUCGAAAGCGCAAGCGCCAGAGGGUGAGUCUGCGGCCUAUCAGGUAGUAGGUGGUGUAACGGACCACCUAGCCUAAGACGGGUACGGGCCUUGAGAGAGGGAGCCCGGAGAUGGGUUCUGAGACACGAACCCAGGCCCUACGGGGCGCAGCAGGCGCGAAACCUUCGCACUGCGCGAAAGCGCGACGAGGGGAGCCAGAGUGCCUCUCCAUUUCGGGGAGGCUUUUCACAAGCCUAAAAAGCUUGUGGAAUAAGGGCUGGGCAAGACGGGUGCCAGCCGCCGCGGUAAUACCCGCAGCUCGAGUGGUGGUCGCUUUUAUUGAGCCUAAAACGUUCGUAGUCGGCCUUGUAAAUCCCUGGGUAAAUCGGACCGCUUAACGGUUCGAAUUCCGGGGAGACUGCAAGGCUAGGGACCGGGCGAGGUCAGAGGUACUUUCGGGGUAGGAGUGAAAUCCUGUAAUCCCGAAGGGACCACCUGUGGCGAAAGCGUCUGACUUGAGCGGCUCAGACGAUGAGGAACGAAGGCUAGGGGAGCAAACCGGAUUAGAUACCCGGGUAGUCCUAGCUGUAAACUCUGCCCGCUUGGUGUGGCCUGUCCUUCGGGGGCAGGCUGUGCCGGAGCGAAGGUGUUAAGCGGGCUGCUUGGGGAGUACGGCCGCAAGGUUGAAACUUAAAGGAAUUGGCGGGGGAGCACCGCAACGGGAGGAUGCGUGCGGUUUAAUGGAGUCAACGCCGGAA